rnacentral:rRNA from 1 species
UAAGGAAUAUUGGUCAAUGGGGGCAACCCUGAACCAGCCAUGCCGCGUGCAGGAAGACGGCCCUACGGGUUGUAAACUGCUUUUAUACGGGAAUAAACCUCUUUACGUGUAAAGAGUUGAAUGUACUGUAAGAAUAAGGAUCGGCUAACUCCGUG